rfam:Glycine max cultivar Williams 82 chromosome 1, whole genome shotgun sequence.
UAGCCAUUGUGCUAUUGGCUCGGUUCACUCAGACACAAAACAACCAUAUCACAACAUUUGUGGUUUUCGUUUUUGAAUCUUUGAUUGAGUCGUGUCAAUAUCUCACUGCUAUUU